UACGUAGGGGGCAAGCGUUGUCCGGAUUCAUUGGGCGUAAAGAGCGUGUAGGCGGCCAGGUAGGUCGGUUGUGAAAACUGGAGGCUCAACCUUCAGACGUCGACCGAAACCAUCUGGCUAGAGUCCGGGAGAGGAGAGUGGAAUUCCUGGUGUAGCGGUGAAAUGCGUAGAUAUCGGGAGGAACACCUGUGGCGAAAGCGGCUCUCUGGACCACAACUGACGCUGAGGCGCGAAAGCUAGGGGAGCAAACAGG
rnacentral:rRNA from 1 species